rnacentral:rRNA from 1 species
AACGAACGCUGGCGGCAUGCCUAACACAUGCAAGUCGAACGAGACCUUCGGGUCUAGUGGCGCACGGGUGCGUAACGCGUGGGAACCUGCCCUUAGGUUCGGAAUAACUCCCCGAAAGGGGUGCUAAUACCGGAUAAUGUCUUCAGACCAAAGAUUUAUCGCCUUUGGAUGGGCCCGCGUUGGAUUAGCUAGUUGGUAGGGUAAAAGCCUACCAAGGCGACGAUCCAUAGCUGGUCUGAGAGGAUGAUCAGCCACACUGGGACUGAGACACGGCCCAGAACCCUAGGGAAGGGAGAAAGGGGGAAAAAGGAAAAAGGGGGGAAAGCUGAACCCAAAAAGGCCGGGUGAGUAAGGAAGGCCUUAGGGUUAUAAGGGUUUUUAACCGGGGAAAAAAAGAAGAGAACGGGGAAAAAAAGCCCGGGUAAAUCCGGG